rnacentral:tRNA from 1 species
GAAUAAGACUGAGGAGUCACCAAGAACUGCUAAUUCUUGAACCCAUAGUUCAACUCUGUGGCUUAAUUA